rnacentral:rRNA from 1 species
GCUGGCGGCGUGCUUAACACAUGCAAGUCGAACGCGAACGUUUCCUUCGGGAAACUAGUAGAGUGGCGCACGGGUGAGUAACGCGUAAGUAAUCUACCCUCGCAUCUGGGAUAACCCACCGAAAGGUGUGCUAAUACCUGAUACGUCUGGAAUUAUACAUUGAGUUCAGAGAAAGGUGGCCUCUUCAUGAAAGCUACUGUGCGGGGAGGAGCUUGCGUACCAUUAGCUAGUUGGUAGGGUAAGGGCCUACCAAGGCGAUGAUGGUUAGCGGGUCUGAGAGGAUGAUCCGCCACACUGGAACUGGAACACGGACCAGACUCCUACGGGAGGCAGCAGUGAGGAAUAUUGCGCAAUGGGGGCAACCCCUGACGCAGCGACGCCGCGUGGAUGAUGAAGGCCUUCGGGUUGUAAAAUC